CAUGUACUCCCUCCGUUUGGAAUUACUUGUCUCGAAAAUGGAUGUAUCUAGAACUAAAAUACGUCUAGAUACAUCCAUUUCUGCGACAAGUAAUUCCGAACGGAGGGAGUAGCUU
rnacentral:pre_miRNA from 1 species